rnacentral:rRNA from 1 species
CCUACGGGUGGCAGCAGUGGGGAAUAUUGCACAAUGGGGGCAACCCUGAUCCAGCGACGCCGCGUGAGCGAAGGAGGACUUCGGUGUGUAAAGCUCUGUUAUCAGGGAAGAAAAUGACGGUGCCUGAUCAGGAAGCACCGACGAAAUACGUGCCAGCAGCCGCGGUGAUACGUAGGAGGCAAGCGUUAUCCGGAUUUAUUGGGUGUAAAGGGCGGGGAGGCGGCAGGGCAAGCAAGAUGUGAAAACCCGGGGCGCAACCCCGCGACUUCUGUUGGAAAAGCUGUGCUUGAGUGCUGGAGGGGCAAGCGGAAUUCCUGGUGUAGCGGUGAAAUGCGUAGAUAUACGGAGGAACACCAGUGGCGAAGGCGGAUUGCUGGACUGUAACUGACGCUGAGGCGCGAAAGCGUGGGGAGCAAACAGGAUUAGAUACCCGUGUAGUC